UGGGGAAUUUUGGACAAUGGGCGAAAGCCUGAUCCAGCAAUGCCGCGUGUGUGAAGAAGGCCUUCGGGUUGUAAAGCACUUUUGUCCGGAAAGAAAUCCUUGGCUCUAAUACAGUCGGGGGAUGACGGUACCGGAAGAAUAAGCACCGGCUAACUACGUGCCAGCAGCCGCGGUAAUACGUAGGGUGCAAGCGUUAAUCGGAAUUACUGGGCGUAAAGCGUGCGCAGGCGGUUUGCUAAGACCGAUGUGAAAUCCCCGGGCUCAACCUGGGAACUGCAUUGGUGACUGGCAGGCUAGAGUAUGGCAGAGGGGGGUAGAAUUCCACGUGUAGCAGUGAAAUGCGUAGAGAUGUGGAGGAAUACCGAUGGCGAAGGCAGCCCCCUGGGCCAAUGCUGACGCUCAUGCACGAAAGCGUGGGGAGCAAACAGGAUUAGAUACCCUGGUAGUCCACGCCCUAAACGAUGUCAACUAGUUGUUGGGGAUUCAUUUCCUUAGUAACGUAGCUAACGCGUGAAGUUGACCGCCUGGGGAGUACGGUCGCAAGAUUAAAACUCAAAGGAAUUGACGGGGUCAUAGCUGUUUCCU
rnacentral:rRNA from 1 species